CAAACAUUUAAGGAAAACAGCAAUCAUUUAUUAUCAUUCAUGGUUUCUAUGGGUCAGGAGUUCAGAAGCAGCUCCACUGCAUAGUUCUGGUUGAAAGUCUCUCACGUGGUUGCAGUUAGACGUUGACUAAGGCUGGAGUCACCAUCAAGUCUUCUUUGUUUAUAUAUCUGGCCCUUGGCCUAGGAAGACUCAAAUAGCUGAAAGACGGAACAGCUGAGGUUUCUAAAGCAUUUCUCUAUAUAUCUUCAUGGUAUGUCCAUGUGGUCCCUCCAGCAUGGUGGCAUCAUGGCAGCCAGACUUCUUACAUAGUUGCUCAGGGUUCCAGAAUGAGAGAGUUUCACAGGGCUGGGGAGGCCUCAGAAUCAUGGCAGGAGGCAAAAUGCACUUCUUACAUGGUGGCAGCACGAAAAAACAAGGAGGAAGAAAGAGCAGAAACCCCUGAUAAGCUCAUCA
rnacentral:lncRNA from 1 species